CCUACGGGGGGCUGCAGUGGGGAAUUUUGGACAAUGGGGGCAACCCUGAUCCAGCCAUUCCGCGUGAGUGAAGAAGGCCUUCGGGUUGUAAAGCUCUUUCGGCCGGGAAGAAAUCGCAUCUCCUAAUACGGGGUGUGGAUGACGGUACCGGAAGAAGAAGCACCGGCUAAAUACGUGCCAGCAGCCGCGGUAAUACGUAGGGGAAGAGCGUUGAUCGGAAUUACUGGGCGUGAAGCGUGAGCACGCGUGUGAAAUCCCCGGGCUUAACCUGGGAACGGCGUUUGUGACUGGUGGGCUUGAGUGCGGCAGAGGGGGGUGGAAUUCCACGUGUAGCAGUGAAAUGCGUAGAGAUGUGGAGGAACACCGAUGGCGAAGGCAGCCCCCUGGGUCGACACUGACGCUCAUGCACGAAAGCGUGGGGAGCAAACAGGAUUAGAUACCCUGGUAGUC
rnacentral:rRNA from 1 species